AUUUUCCUUGGUUUGGAAGGAGAGAGGAAUUGAGCCCAUAGCUGCCCAGCUGAGAGGUGGAAGUUAGAGUGUGGAAUGUACAAAUAUAACACAAAAAUUACAGUAUAGUGAUUGCUUCUUUUACUAAUUCAUUCUCCGGAAAGUCAUGAAACACACUGCAGUGGCAUCUCUGGUUAAAGCUGGCUUCUAUCUAAAGGUGGAUUGGUAAAUUAACAACCAAACUGCAAGCAACCCUCAAACUAACUGCAAUCUUGAGUUAAAGCAUGAAUACUUCUAUCUCCUUCUAUUCUGUGAAGAUCAAUUUCACUUGUGCAGGGCAUUACUGAUUCAGCUUCCCCCUCCACCAGGUCUUUACUCAAAGCUGCCUUAAAAACAACAACAACAACAACAACAACAACAAAAGCCCUUUCCAUCUGUCUCUAUAACUGGAACACCAGGAAGAAGGCAAUCUAUUGGAAAAGUUUAGUAAUUUUUUAGAUAGCUUUUAAAUCAGCAAUACUGGUGUCAUGAAUCCCACCCCUCAAUUUAUAUGUUGAAGCCCGAGCCCCCAAUGUGACAGUAUUUGGAGAUAAGGCUGUUAGGACAUAAAGUUAAGUGCAGUCAUAAGGAUGGAGUCCUAAUCCAGUAGGAUUGGUAACCUCAUAAAAAGAGGAAAAGAGCGAGAUCUUUCUCCCCAGAAGCGUACAUCAAGGAAAGGCCAUUUCAGCACACAGAGAACUGUUGUUUCUGGUCUGCAAGUCAGGAAGAGGGCUCUCACCAGAAGCCAACCAUGAUGCACCUGGAUUGCAGACUUUCAGCCUCCAGACUGUGAGAAAAUGAAUGUUGUUGAACACACCCAGUCUGUGGUAUUUUAUUAUUGCAGCCCAAGCAGACUAAGACAAUUGGAGAGCUAUU